AUACAAGCUGGCUUGCCUGCGAUGGCAUCAACUCGGUGUACUUGAUGGACCGAGGUGUCUGCAUCGCAGGCAAGCCAGCUCCCAU
rnacentral:misc_RNA from 1 species